CAUGCGGGGAAGGAUGAGAAGCUUCGACUAAGGUUCGACUUGAGCGCCAGCGAGAGAGCGUUGCCGCAGGCAACGACCCGAAGGGCGAAGCGCGCAGCGCUGAGUAAUCCUUCCCCCACCACCA
rnacentral:sRNA from 1 species